rnacentral:rRNA from 1 species
GAUGAACGCUGGCGGCGUGCCUAAUACAUGCAAGUCGAGCGAACAGACGAGGAGCUUGCUCCUCUGACGUUAGCGGCGGACGGGUGAAUAACACGUGGAUAACCUACCUAUAAGACUGGGAUAACUUCGGGAAACCGGAGCUAAUACCGGAUAAUAUAUUGAACCGCAUGGUUCAAUAGUGAAAGACGGUUUUGCUGUCACUUAUAGAUGGGUCCGCGCCGCAUUAGCUAGUUGGUAAGGUAACGGCUUACCAAGGCGACGAUGCGUAGCCGACCUGAGAGGGUGAUCGGCCACACUGGAACUGAGACACGGUCCAGACUCCUACGGGAGGCAGCAGUAGGGAAUCUUCCGCAAUGGGCGAAAGCCUGACGGAGCAACGCCGCGUGAGUGAUGAAGGUCUUCGGAUCGUAAAACUCUGUUAUUAGGGAAGAACAAAUGUGUAAGUAACUAUGCACGUCUUGACGGUACCUAAUCAGAAAGCCACGGCUAACUACGUG